CUCACACUUUCUACCACACUGUUAGUUAGCUGUGACUGUUUUUGACAGACAGUUUGUCAUUGAAUAUCGCUGUCCAAUCAGCAUCAAGUCGUGUUCCGUGGAGUCCCGCCUCUUUUGGUGGGAUUUCAGUCUGGUUGUAAAUCGCCCAGAUCUCUCUCAUAGACUUUCAUGUAAAGGCAGUUUUUUUCGAGCUGCGGCCACUGCAAUGCAAUCUCUAUGGCUUCCGGGAGGGCUCGCACUUAUGUGUUUACGUCAUGCGCCCAGCAGCAGAACUACGCUUCUGCCACCUGAAAACAACUCGGCAGUCCUCCAGCUUGUUGCUCUCACUACGACCAGCUGCUGUUUUGAAACGUACGUUCAGGCUGAAAAUUGGACCGUGGUGUUGUGUUGGGAGAUGCAGUUUACCAGCGAAACCGAAGAAGAAAGAGGAGGUGGUCACCACUGGCAUCUUGUCAGAGGAGGGUAAAAAGAACAGACUUAGACCAUUGAACUGAUCACCUUAGCCAUCAUCGCAACAAUUGCCCCCCCUGAGAGAUUUGGCAGGAGCCGCCACUGAUGUAGAAGCAUGCAAAUGCUUCAUAACUAACUAGCAGAAGCUUUGCAGAUGACAGAAGAGGACUUGCAGAGCACGACAACAGCCGAUAGUCCAGUGAAAGGCCAGUUAACCUGAAGUGGUCUUUCUCAUAUCUGAUAUAUGUUAUCUUGGUGUAAUGUGGACCAGAACCUAACUCUUUGGGGAGCUCAUAUUGUUUUGGCUACAAUUGAUGUCAAUCUUAAUGGGCAGCAGUCCUCAAGGCACUUUGCAUCUACCUUGGUGAGGAUGAUGGACAUCUCAUUCGGGAUUAUAAGG